GCAGUGGUGGCUCAGUGGUUAAAGCCCUGGGUUACUGAUCAGAAUGUCAGGGGUUCAAGCCCUAGUACUGCC